CAAAGGCGAAUGGAGGAAGACAAAGGAAAAAAUGGGCUUUUCCAACAUGAGUUUGUUUGUUAGUAAAGUUGGCCCUGGAUUUGAACCUCACAUGGAUCUAAGGCUUUCCGUAUCACAGUCAGGACUAUAUGUCCAUUGAUAAAGAACAGGCAAAGAAUCUCUGUAGAACGUGAAAUUAGCCAUUUGGGACUCCAAGAAGUUACCCCUUCUCAUUGGAGAGAAUUUGUUCAGAUUAGGAUGUGAAGCUCCCGCCACAUCUCCUCAAAAUUGAAACAGUGUCAACGACAAUUCAGGUCUGUUUUGAAUCUUAUUACCCUUAAAAACAGCCAGAAGCCAAGUCUGCCUGAACAUGCUCCUACUUGUUAUCGACAGUCCGCAAAGGCAUUAUGGGUGACUUGAUCAUGUGUCAUGGAAAGUCAACGUUGGGAGAAGCAAGAGUGAAAUGUCAGUCUUGCGGUUCCUGAAACCAACCAAACUGCAGGGGUCAAGUGAAAGAAAAGCAACAGCUCAAG
rnacentral:lncRNA from 1 species